rnacentral:rRNA from 1 species
AAAACAUCGCCUCUUGUCAAUUAUAAGAGGUCCAGCCUGCCCAGUGACCCUGUUCAACGGCCGCGGUAUCCUAACCGUGCGAAGGUAGCGUAAUCAUUUGUCCUUUAAAUGUGGACUAGUAUGAAUGGCACCACGAAGGUUGUACUGUCUCCUCCCUCUAAUCAGUGAAACUAAUUUCCCCGUGAAGAAGCGGGGAUACCAUUAUAAGACGAGAAGACCCUAUGGAGCUUUAAACAAAGCAACAAUUGCUACUGUAAACACCACUUCAAGAAAACUAAUACAUAUGCUAACAUAAUGAUUGCUAGUUUUAGGUUGGGGCGACCGCGGAACAAAAACUAACUUCCACGUUGAAGCUGGGCUUCCCUUAAGCAAAAAGCCACAACUUUACGCAUCAACAAAUUGACAUUAAUUGACCCAAUAUUUUGAUCAACGAACCAAGUUACCCUAGGGAUAACAGCGCAAUCCACUUCAAGAGCCCCUAUCGACAAGUGGGUUUACGACCUCGAUGUUGGAUCAGGGUAUCCUAAUGGUGCAGCCGCCAUUAAAGGUUCGUUUGUUCAACGAUUAAAACCCUA